AUUGAACGCUGGCGGCAGGCUUAACACAUGCAAGUCGAGCGAGCGGCGGACGGGUGAGUAACGUCUGGGAAACUGCCUGAUGGAGGGGGAUAACUACUGGAAACGGUAGCUAAUACCGCAUACCUUCAGCUGUGCCCAGAUGGGAUGAGCCAGUAGGUGGGGUAAUGGCUCACCUAGGCGACGAUCCCUAGCUGGUCGGAGAGGGUGACCGGCCAAAGUGGAACUGAGACACGGUCCAGACUCCUACGGGAGGCAGCAGUGGGGAAUAUUGCACAAGGGGCGAAAGCCUGAUACAGCAAUGCCGCGUGUGUGAAGAAGGCCUUCGGGUUGUAAAGCACUUUCAGCGAGGAGGCGUUACUCGAAGAGGAAGCACCGGCUAACUCCGUGCCAGCAGCCGCGGUAAUAC
rnacentral:rRNA from 1 species